UACGAAGGGUGCAAGCGUUACUCGGAAUUACUGGGCGUAAAGCGUGCGUAGGUGGUGCGUUAAGUCCGAUGUGAAAGCCCUGGGCUCAACCUGGGAAUGGCAUUGGAAACUGGCGUGCUGGAGUACGGUAGAGGGUGGCGGAAUUCCCGGUGUAGCAGUGAAAUGCGUAGAUAUCGGGAGGAAGAUCCGUGGCGAAGGCGGCCACCUGGACCAGUACUGACACUGAGGCACGAAAGCGUGGGGAGCAAAC
rnacentral:rRNA from 1 species